rnacentral:rRNA from 1 species
GACGUAGGUGGCGAACGUUAUCCGGAAUUAUUGGGCGUAAAAGGGUGCGCAGAUGGCUUGGUAAGUUAGCGGUGGGAAAUCGAGGCUCAACCUCGUGGAAGCCGGUAAUACUAUUAGGCUUGAGUGCAGGAGAGGUUAACGGAAUUCCAUGUGGAGCGGUAAAAAUGUGUAGAUAUAUGGAAGAACAUCAAUAACGGCGAAGGCAGUUAACUAUUCUGCUACUGACAUUGAGGCACGAAAGCGUGGGGAUCAAACAGG